rnacentral:pre_miRNA from 1 species
AGUAAGUAGCCGACUUGGGGAAGUGAUCGACGCUUGGGAUAAGUUAUCUGCUUUUUUAACCCCAUAAACUUUUUACUGUGGGUAAAGAGAUUCUUCUUGGGGUAUAAAAAAAAAACAUAUUUAAAUUUAGCUCAAGAGUUGAUGAUGUAUUUUUGCCAAGAAGGCUGCUCACU